rnacentral:misc_RNA from 1 species
AGCAGCAGCAAGAACCCUGUAAUAACAACACUUUUUAGUUCCUUUCAUCAAAAUGUAUAAUAAGAAAAUGGCAAGAGGAGAGCUAGCUGGUAUGCUAAUUUAUUCACAGUAUGAUUACAAUAUAAAAAAAUGAAAUCCUGUUCAAGUCACCGAUCCAGUGCAUAGAUUAGGAACUCAACAAGGUUUUAACUUUUAUAUAGAAUUGCAUGCAUAUUCACUUAAAAAAACAAGCAGGCACCUCCACUGGAGACCUAACAGCAAGAACACGCUUCAUAGAAGUUAGUUUGUUCAAGGCAAAGCAUUCUUCAGUUGGAACAACCUGCUGGCAUCACAAGACUUCUACUAAUGUUGCAUAUUAUUUUACCAUUUCUUUUUUUGUUACUUAAGAAUGUUUCUUACCUCUAUGACAGGUACAACAAUAACCACACUGACAAUAUGAAUUCUAAUAUCCACUGGACUCUUGGUAACCAUUCAGUUGAGCUGAUUAAUCAUGUAUGUCAGAAAAAUGUAUUAAAAUUUUAAAUUAAAAUAGUACAUUGUAAUAAAACAAAUUAUAAGAAUUCAUUAUGGCAUUGCAAAAUAAAAUGUAAACAAUACUUUUAAGUACAGUUCACUAGAACUUCACCAGUUUGCAAAUACAUGCUGGUGUCCUAUGAGUUACUUGUUAUUAGAAGUAAAACAUCAAAUUUGAAAUUAAGUUUUACAAAUCAGGCAUUCAUUCACCUUGGUAUAUCAUUUCCUACAAACAAUGAUUAACCACAAUGAAACGAACCUGCUCUGCA